rnacentral:tRNA from 1 species
AUUUAAAUAGUUUAAAUUAAAAUAUUGAUUUGUGGUGUCAAAGAUGCAAAAUUGUUGUUUUAGAUC